rnacentral:lncRNA from 1 species
UUGAGCAAUUCACUAUGCUGUUGAAUAUUAAUCCUCUCAAACAAAUGUUUGAAGAAAUUUUCUUUUUAUUUAUGAAAACUGAAAUGAGAAAAAUUGACCCUCAAUUUUUUUUUCACAUCCCCCUUUCCCUUAUUCCAAAACUGAUCUCAAUUCAAAUUUCUAAUGGAGUUUGCAGCAAUAACUACUCAAUAAAAUACAUCAUAAAAUAUUAAAAUGUAAAAAAAGUUCUUGUUAUCACUGAAUGGUAAAGAUUGGUUUAAUUUAUCAUUUGGUAGUAAAAGUGAAUAUACAUUGUAUAUUGUGUAAAACAAUGAUUUAAGUUGAU